GGAGAGAUGUCUGAGUGGUCGAAAGAGACGGUCUUGAAAACCGUUGUACAGGUUUCUGUACCGUGGGUUCGAAUCCCACUCUCUCCGCCA
rnacentral:tRNA from 1 species